rnacentral:rRNA from 1 species
CAACUUGAGAGUUUGAUCCUGGCUCAGAACGAACGCUGGCGGCAGGCCUAACACAUGCAAGUCGAGCGCUUCCCUUCGGGGAGGAGCGGCGGACGGGUUAGUAACGCGUGGGAACAUACCCUUUUCUACGGAAUAGCCUCGGGAAACUGAGAGUAAUACCGUAUAAGCCCUUCGGGGCAAAGAUUUAUCGGGAAAGGAUUGGCCCGCGUUAGAUUAGAUAGUUGGUGGGGUAAUGGCCUACCAAGUCUACGAUCUAUAGCUGGUUUGAGAGGAUGAUCAGCAACACUGGGACUGAGACACGGCCCAGACUCCUACGGGAGGCAGCAGUGGGGAAUCUUGGACAAUGGGCGCAAGCCUGAUCCA